rnacentral:rRNA from 1 species
AUCAGCUAGAUGGUGAGGUAAUGGCUCACCAUGGCGACGACGGGUAGCCGGCCUGAGAGGGUGACCGGCCACACUGGGACUGAGACACGGCCCAGACUCCUACGGGAGGCAGCAGUGGGGAAUAUUGCACAAUGGGCGCAAGCCUGAUGCAGCAACGCCGCGUGAGGGAUGACGGCCUUCGGGUUGUAAACCUCUUUUAGUAGGGAAGAAGCGAAAGUGACGGUACCUGCAGAAAAAGCACCGGCUAACUACGUGCCAGCAGCCGCGGUAAUACGUAGGGUGCAAGCGUUGUCCGGAAUUAUUGGGCGUAAAGAGCUCGUAGGCGGCUUGUCGCGUCUGCUGUGAAAACCCGGGGCUCAACCCCGGGCCUGCAGUGGGUACGGGCAGGCUAGAGUGCGGUAGGGGAGAUUGGAAUUCCUGGUGUAGCGGUGGAAUGCGCAGAUAUCAGGAGGAACACCGAUGGCGAAGGCAGAUCUCUGGGCCGCUACUGACGCUGAGGAGCGAAAGCAUGGGGAGCGAACAGGAUUAGAUACCCUGGUAGUCCAUGCCGUAAACGUUGGGAACUAGAUGUAGGGCCUGUUCCACGGGUUCUGUGUCGUAGCUAACGCAUUAAGUUCCCCGCCUGGGGAGUACGGCCGCAAGGCUAAAACUCAAAGGAAUUGACGGGGGCCCGCACAAGCGGCGGAGCAUGCGGAUUAAUUCGAUGCAACGCGAAGAACCUUACCAAGGCUUGACAUAUACGAGAACGGGCGAGAGAUCGUCAACUCUUUGGACACUCGUAUACAGGUGGUGCAUGGUUGUCGUCAGCUCGUGUCGUGAGAUGUUCGGUUAAGUCCGGCAACGAGCGCAACCCUCGUCCUAUGUUGCCAGCACGUUAUGGUGGGAACUCAUGGGAUACUGCCGUGGUCAACACGGAGGAAGGUGGGGAUGACGUCAAAUCAUCAUGCCCCUUAUGUCUUGGGCUUCACGCAUGCUACAAUGGCCGAUACAAAGGGCUGCGAUACCGCGAGGUGGAGCGAAUCCCAAAAAGUCGGUCUCAGUUCGGAUUGGGGUCUGCAACUCGACCCCAUGAAGUCGGAGUCGCUAGUAAUCGCAGAUCAGCAACGCUGCGGUGAAUACGUUCCCGGGCCUUGUACACACCGCCCGU